UUGGUAAAGGACAUUGCCACUUUAUUAAAGGUGAAAAGAAAGCUCCACCUGGUAAUGGAAAAGGGCUCCUACCAUAACCAUUAGAUUAGACUCUCUCCUCUACCUUUAAGCUGAUAGGAUAGGGAACCAAUGAGAAGGGCAAUGGAGAAGAAGUUGCAGAGGUUGUUUGUGUUGCUGAAUGUGCUUGUGUUCAAUGCCUCUCUUGUGUUCACAACAAAGACCAAUUUCUCAGCUGUAGGAGACCCAGGAAUGCAGAGAGAUGGUCUGAGAGUGGCGUUUGAGGCUUGGAACUUCUGCAAUGAAGUUGGGGAAGAAGCUCCUCACAUGGGUAGUCCAAGAGCUGCCGAUUGUUUUGAUCUUUCAGGUUCUUCUUUGAUUCACAAGGUCACAGAAGCUGAUAACAAACUUGGGGUGGGGGAUUCACUUCCUGGCCUAACACCUGAAGAUAUCAACAAUGCAGACCUUUAUGCUGCUCAUAAGGAACUGUAUUUGGGUUCUCUAUGUGAAGUUCCAGACACCCCAAGGCCAUGGCAAUUUUGGAUGGUAAUGCUGAAAAAUGGCAACUAUGACACCAGGUCUGGGUUAUGCCCUAAGGAUGGGAAAAAAGUACCCCCUUUUGCUCCGGGGCGGUUCCCAUGUUUCGGAGAAGGGUGUAUGAACCAACCCAUCUUUUGUCAUCAACAAACACAGCUGAAAGAUGGCACAAUGAGAGGGGGAUUCAGUGGUAGUUAUGAUUUGGGUUCUGAUUGUGGGAGUGAACAUGAUGGCCUCUCUUACUAUGAGGUGGUUUGGGAGAAGAAAGUUAAUGCUGGGAGUUGGGUUUUCAAACAUAAGUUGAGAACUUCAAAGAAAUACCCUUGGCUAAUGUUGUACCUUAGAGCUGAUGCAACCAAAGGAUUCUCUGGAGGUUACCAUUAUGAUACAAGAGGAAUGCUAAAAACUCUUCCACAGUCUCCAAAUUUCAAGGUGAGGUUGAGCUUAGAUAUCAAGAAGGGGGGAGGAUCCAAGAGCCAGUUCUACCUUUUAGACAUUGGAAGUUGCUGGAAGAACAAUGGUGCUGCAUGUGAUGGAGAUGUACUCACUGAUGUUACAAGAUACAGUGAGAUGAUCAUCAACCCUGAAACCCCAGCUUGGUGCAGCCCCACUGGUUUAGGGAACUGCCCACCAUUUCAUAUCACACCAGACAACAGAAAAAUCUACAGAAAUGAUACAGCCAAUUUCCCCUACUCUGCAUAUCACUUUUAUUGUGCCCCAGGCAAUGCGCAACACUUGGAGAAACCUGUGAGCACUUGUGAUCCUUACAGCAAUCCUCAGGCACAAGAGAUAGUUCAGUUACUUCCUCACCCUAUUUGGGCUGAGUAUGGCUAUCCCACCAAAAAAGAUGAUGGCUGGGUUGGGGAUGGAAGGACAUGGGAACUUGAUGUUGGUGGAUUAUCAAGUAGGCUCUACUUUUAUCAGGACCCGGGCACACCUCCUGCCAAAAGAGUGUGGACAUCAAUUGAUUCUGGUACAGAGAUAUUUGUUAGUGACAAAGAUGAAGUAGCAGAGUGGAGUUUGAGUGACUUUGACGUUAUUGUAACACAACCAAAAACCAGCUUGACGACUCAGGUUUAUUAGGUUGAGAGAAAGAGAUAGAUUUUACCCUACACUGAACUUUUGAGAUCAGAGGGUCCACAAAGGCUACGGUUCUGGAUCUAGGCAAGGAGUGCUUGAGCUUAGAGACAUGUACCAAUAAUGAAAUUCUCAUUGUCACGGUCAUAGGAUGCCAAGCAGCCAAGGAAUAAAGUAUGAAUGAUAAAGUGUUGAGCAAUGAGUCCAAUAAAUUAUACUCAUUCUUAUAUUUAUCUACAACUAUGAUUAAUUCACAAUCUCCAUUCAUUUUGUAAGAUAAUUGAAUGGGUGACUUUCUCAUUCAUUUGGAAUCAAUAUAAAUACAACAAGUAUUGCUAAAGUCAAACUAUCUACCAUAAUUAUAGGUAAUCAAUUAACAUAAUUACAGGAGACUAUUAACAUAAUGUCAUAUCUACUAACUUAAAAAGCAAUAUGCAAUUUCACUGUUCAUGAGAGCCAAUUUUUUUUUUGUUCCUUGUGUGGUUGCUUUUGGGCCUGUUUCUUUCGUGGGCUGCAUUGAGAGGAUUUCAUCAGCCUCUCCACGUAGGGUUAGGAGUAUCAGGCUACUCGAAACCUCCUUGCCUCUCCACGUGAUCUCCUUUCCCCCUUGAACCUACUGCUCCAGCGCUCUCUGUCACUGGAAUAUAUGUAGCAUUCAGGAUAGGAAUGUAUCGAAUAGUUGGAAUUGUAUAUACUAUAUACUGUUGAUAGAUGAACAUGAUUAAUAAUGAGGUCGUUUAUUUUGGAAGUAUGCUGCUGAGGGUGCAUCACUUGCCAUCAUUUUUUGAGCCUAUAUAUAUUUUAAUAUGAAGCAGGGCUUUGUCUUGCAUUUUAGAGGUUCAGCCAGUGCCAGCAAUGCCUGAUGAAAAGGCUAGAUAGCAACACCAACUCAGUAUUCAAUCUAUGAUAUCAUCCCACUUACAAUUCACCUCAACAUUACAAAUCAUUUGAGACACCCCUACAUGAUCAAGACACAAGUGACAUCAUGGAGCAAGCCAGCAACAGAGAGUACAGUGUGGAAGCAGAGCAUGCUUGCUCAGAGGCUGUAGCCUGUAGAUAUCAAAUAAUCAAAUUGAAACCUGCUUUCAAGUUUCAACCAGUUUUGUUGAUCUAUUGAGGGUUAAUUAUUUGAUUUGUUCAGUGCUAGCUUGUGUUCAUUUUGGUGUUCUUGCACAGAGCAAUUUUUCUUUGCUUAUCUCCUCUUUCGUCUAGAUAAUUGAAAAAAUAACCUUAAAACCUCUGUGUCCACAGCUUCUGGAUUGUUCCAACUCUAGCAUUUCGUUGUAGAUAUUCUUAUUCCAAAUUUCAAUUGCAAGCUGGUACUGCUGGUUGCAGACCCAAGUGCUAAUGGGAGCUUGGAAUCAGUGGCUCUGGUGUCUACCAUGAGUUCUGAAAUGCUCAAAAAAAGAAGAGCAUUAUGUCAAUAUAGCAUAUCAAUGGGAGGAAGUUUUAUAUCACACACAGGGCGCUACAGGCAAGUAAUUGUUAACAAAUUGAAAGACUGUAGCGGUAAGGAAUCCAUUUUCCAAUUGGGAAAGUCAUUUUAGAAAGGUGGAAGUGUAUUUGAAGAGUGAAGAUAACUUUAUUGCUUAAGCACAUGUUUUCAAAUUCACUGUUCGUCUUUCUUCAUUUUUGGGCCGGCCCUCAUUUCCUUUUAGGCCUCCACUAGAGCUGUAGAGAGGUUCGCUGGUGUACCUAGCCAGAAUUUCCCCUCUCCAGGGCAUGGAGAAGCAGUAAAGUGAACUAUUAAACUCAUCAAGCCUUUCUUUUAAUGACUUCAGAUUGAUUCUCUAUCACUAAGCAUAGAGCAGAUUUUAAAGUUCUUUUCUACUUGUCCCUAUCAAUGUUUGUUGGAUGCAUGCAAAUGCAGAAAGAAAGGGAAGUAUAUGAAGUGAUGUGAAGACUUACGUGUUCAAAUUGAGUUAUUCACUUUGCUGUUAUGUGAAAAUUUAAGUUAUGUUGUAUAAAGAGUUAUUGUUAUAUCUAAUGUAAUAUUCGUAUGAACAAGGUCUCCGACACUUGCGUAGUUGUUUAAGUUUUAGUCGGGCAUCUUCAUCUCUCCGUGCCGGUUGUUCUAUUUUAUCUGUUAUCUUGGUAAAUAUCUAAAUACUAGCUGUUUGUUCCUCUCA